rnacentral:rRNA from 1 species
UCUACCCUGAAGUGGGGAAUAACGGACCGAAAGGUUCGCUAAUACCGCACAUGAUCGAGAGAUCAAAGGCAGUCGCAAGAUUGUCGCUUUAGGAGGAGCCUGCGGCCGAUCAGGUAGUUGGUGAGGUAACGGCUCACCAAGCCGCAGACCGGUAGCUGAUCUGAGAGGAUGACCAGCCACACUGGCACUGAGACACGGGCCAG